GUCUAUGGCCAUGCUACCCUAAACGUGCCCGAUCUCAACUGACCUCAGAAGCUAAGCAGGGUCGGGCCUGGUUAGUACUUGGAUGGGAGACCAGUUUGGAAUACCAGGUGCUGUAAAUG
rnacentral:rRNA from 1 species